UACGUAGGGUGCAAGCGUUGUCCGGAAUUAUUGGGCGUAAAGAGCUCGUAGGCGGUUUGUCGCGUCGAAUGUGAAAUCCCGGGGCUCAACCCCGGGUCUGCAUUCGAUACGGGCAGACUAGAGUUCGGUAGGGGAGUCUGGAAUUCCUGGUGUAGCGGUGAAAUGCGCAGAUAUCAGGAGGAACACCGGUGGCGAAAGCGGCUCACUGGGUCUCUUCUGACGCUGAUGCACGAAAGCUAGGGGAGCGAACGGG
rnacentral:rRNA from 1 species